GGACUACACGGGUAUCUAAUCCUGUUUGCUCCCCUAGCUUUCGUGCCUCAGUGUCAGGAAGUGUCCAGGGACUCGCCUUCGCCACUGGUGUUCCUCUCGAUAUCUACGCAUUUCACUGCUACACCGAGAAUUCCAGUCCCCCCUCCACUCCUCAAGCUAGAUAGUAUCCAAUGCCAUUUCCAGGUUGAGCCUGGAGAUUUCACAUCGGACUUACCUAACCACCUACGCACCCUUUACGCCCAGUGAAUCCGAACAACGCUUGGGACCUCUGUAUUACCGCGGCUGCUGGCAC
rnacentral:rRNA from 1 species